AGUGAACGCUGGCGGCAGGCCUAACACAUGCAAGUCGAGCGGCAGCGCGUCCGACCACCCUCGGGUGGUCGGAUGGCGGCGAGCGGCGGACGGGUGAGGAAUGCAUCGGAAUCUGCCUCGUUGUGGGGGAUAACGUAGGGAAACUUACGCUAAUACCGCAUACGACCUACGGGUGAAAGUGGGGGACCUUCGGGCCUCACGCGAUGAGAUGAGCCGAUGCCGGAUUAGCUAGUUGGCGGGGUAAAGGCCCACCAAGGCGACGAUCCGUAGCUGGUCUGAGAGGAUGAUCAGCCACACUGGAACUGAGACACGGUCCAGACUCCUACGGGAGGCAGCAGUGGGGAAUAUUGGACAAUGGGGGCAACCCUGAUCCAGCCAUGCCGCGUGUGUGAAGAAGGCCUC
rnacentral:rRNA from 1 species